rnacentral:rRNA from 1 species
UGAACGCUGGCGGCGUGCCUAAUACAUGCACGUCGAGCGAACAGACGAGGAGCUUGCUCCUCUGCCGUUAGCGGCGGACGGGUGAGUAACACGUGGAUAACCUACCUAUAAGACUGGGAUAACUUCGGGAAACCGGAGCUAAUACCGGAUAAUAUAUUGAACCGCAUGGUUCAAUAGUGAAAGACGGUUUUGCUGUCACUUAUAGAUGGAUCCGCGCCGCAUUAGCUAGUUGGUAAGGUAACGGCUUACCAAGGCAACGAUGCGUAGCCGACCUGAGAGGGUGAUCGGCCACACUGGAACUGAGACACGGUCCAGACUCCUACGGGAGGCAGCAGUAGGGAAUCUUCCGCAAUGGGCGAAAGCUUGACGGAGCAACGCCGCGUGAGUGAUGAAGGUCUUCGGAUCGUAAAACUCUGUUAUUAGGGAAGAACAAAUGUGUAAGUAACUAUGCACGUCUUGACGGUACCUAAUCAGAAAGCCACGGCUAACUACGUG